rnacentral:rRNA from 1 species
GACGAACGCUGGCGGCGUGCUUAACACAUGCAAGUCGAGCGGUAAGGCCCUUUCGGGGGUACACGAGCGGCGAACGGGUGAGUAACACGUGGGUGACCUGCCCUCAGCUCUGGGAUAAGCCUGGGAAACCGGGUCUAAUACUGGAUAUGACUCCAUGACGCAUGUUGUGGGGUGGAAAGCCUUGUGCGGCUGAGGAUGGGCCCGCGGCCUAUCAGCUUGUUGGUGGGGUGAUGGCCUACCAAGGCGACGACGGGUAGCCGGCCUGAGAGGGCGACCGGCCACACUGGGACUGAGACACGGCCCAGACUCCUACGGGAGGCAGCAGUGGGGAAUCUUGCGCAAUGGGCGAAAGCCUGACGCAGCGACGCCGCGUGAGGGAUGACGGCCUGGUUGUAAC